rnacentral:RNase_P_RNA from 1 species
CUCCCCGGGGCAGGGUGCUGGGUAACGCCCAGUGGAAGUGAUUCCAAGGAAAGUGCCACAGAAAGAAUACCGCCCAAGCCGCGGGCAACCGCGGACGGCAAGGGUGAAAAGGUGAGGUAAAAGCUCACCAGUACCGCUGGUGACAGCGGUAGCUCGGCAAACCCCACCCGGUGAAAGACCAAAUAGAAGGGAAGAAGACGCCCCGCUUCGUUUGACCCUCGGGUUGGUCGCAAGAGAUGUCUGGCAACAGGCACCCCAGAUAAAUGGCCGUCACCCCCACGGGGGAACAGAACUCGGCUUAUGGCCU